rnacentral:rRNA from 2 species
GCACUCCCGGGGCGUCUCUAUCUCAUCGCGAGAGGAGGCGCACCUAGAGCGUACACGCUGAUACCCGAAAGAUGGUGAACUAUGCCUGGCCAGGACGAAGCCAGGGGAAACCCUGGUGGAGGUCCGCAGCGAUUCUGACGUGCAAAUCGAUCGUCGGAGCUGGGUUUAGGGGCGAAAGACCAAUCGAACCAUCUAGUAGCUGGUUCCCUCUGAAGUUUCCCUCAGGAUAGCUUGCGCUCGGACGAAACGAGUCUCAUCCGGUAGAGCGAAUGAUUAGAGGCCUUGGGGUCGAAACGACCUCAACCUAUUCUCAAACUCCAAAUAGAUGAGAACCCCGGCUUUCUUGAACCAUGUUUAUGAAGCCGGGGGCUUGGAUCAGAGUGCCAAGUGGGCCAAUUUUGGUAAGCAGAACUGGCGCUGUGGGAUGAACCAAACGCGGAGUUAAGGCGCCUCAAUCGACGCUCAUGUGAAACCAUGAAAGGCGUUGGUUGCUUAAGACAGCAG